rnacentral:snRNA from 1 species
AAAAUGUUGUACUAUACUAUUUU